AGUGAACGCUGGCGGUAGGCCUAACACAUGCAAGUCGAACGGCAGCACAGUAAGAGCUUGCUCUUACGGGUGGCGAGUGGCGGACGGGUGAGGAAUACAUCGGAAUCUACUUUUUCGUGGGGGAUAACGUAGGGAAACUUACGCUAAUACCGCAUACGACCUACGGGUGAAAGCAGGGGAUCUUCGGACCUUGCGCGAUUGAAUGAGCCGAUGUCGGAUUAGCUAGUUGGCGGGGUAAAGGCCCACCAAGGCGACGAUCCGUAGCUGGUCUGAGAGGAUGAUCAGCCACACUGGAACUGAGACACGGUCCAGACUCCUACGGGAGGCAGCAGUGGGGAAUAUUGGACAAAGGGCGCAAGCCUGAUCCAGCCAUACCGCGUGGGUGAAGAAGGCCUUCGGGUUGUAAAGCCCUUUUGUUGGGAAAGAAAAGCAGCAGGUUAAUACCCCGCUGUUCUGACAGUACCAAAAGAAUAAGCACCGGCUAACUUCGUG
rnacentral:rRNA from 1 species